GCGGGGAUAGCGAAGCGGUCAAACGUAUUAGACUAAGGAUCUAACGGCUUAGUGCCUUCGCAGGUUCGAAUUGAAUCUUUUUAGAAAAAAGCUUCGGCAAAAAACUAAAGAAAAAACGAAAGUCCUGUUCCCCGCA
rnacentral:tRNA from 2 species